ensembl:snRNA U2 U2 spliceosomal RNA
AUCGCUUCUCGGCCUUUUGGCUAAGAUCAAGUGUAGUAUCUGUUCUUAUCAGUUCCCUGGCGGCUCUGCACUCCCAGAGCAUGUGCCUCACCGACUCUUC